GACGAAGGGGGCUAGCGUUGUUCGGAAUUACUGGGCGUAAAGAGCUCGUAGGCGGUGUGUCACGUCGGCCGUGAAAACCUGCAGCUUAACUGUGGGCGUGCGGUCGAUACGGGCAUCACUGGAGUUCGGCAGGGGAGACUGGAAUUCCUGGUGUAGCGGUGAAAUGCGCAGAUAUCAGGAGGAACACCGGUGGCGAAGGCGGGUCUCUGGGCCGAUACUGACGCUGAGGAGCGAAAGCGUGGGGAGCAAACAGG
rnacentral:rRNA from 1 species